UACGUAGGGUGCAAGCGUUUGUCCGGAAUUAUUGGGCGUAAAGAGCUCGUAGGCGGUUUGUCGCGUCUGCUGUGAAAACUCGGGGCUUAACUCCGGGCCUGCAGUGGGUACGGGCAGACUAGAGUGCGGUAGGGGGAGACUGGAAUUCCUGGUGUAGCGGUGAAAUGCGCAGAUAUCAGGAGGAACACCGAUGGCGAAGGCAGGUCUCUGGGCCAUAACUGACGUGAGAAGCGAAAAGCAUGGGGGAGCGAACAGG
rnacentral:rRNA from 1 species